AUACGUAGGGGGCGAGCGUUGUCCGGAAUGAUUGGGCGUAAAGGGCGCGUGGGCGGCCCGGUAAGUCUGGAGUGAAAGUCCUGUUUUUAAGAUGGGAAUUGCUUUGGAUACUGUCGGGCUUGAGUGCAGGAGAGGUAAGUGGAAUUCCCAGUGUAGCGGUGAAAUGCGUAGAGAUUGGGAGGAACACCAGUGGCGAAGGCGGCCUACUUGGCCGUAACUGGCGGUGAGGCGCGAAAGGGUGGGGAGCGAACAGGAUUAGAUACCCUGGUAGUCCACGCGGUAAACGAUGAAUGCUAGGUGUAGGGGGUAUCGACCCCUCCUGUGCCGGAGUGAACACAAUAAGCAUUCCGCAUGGGGAGUACGGCCGCAAGGUUGAA
rnacentral:rRNA from 1 species